AGUGAACGCUGGCGGUAGGCCUAACACAUGCAAGUCGAACGGCAGCACAGUAAGAGCUUGCUCUUACGGGUGGCGAGUGGCGGACGGGUGAGGAAUACAUCGGAAUCUACUUUUUCGUGGGGGAUAACGUAGGGAAACUUACGCUAAUACCGCAUACGACCUACGGGUGAAAGCAGGGGAUCUUCGGACCUUGCGCGAUUGAAUGAGCCGGUGUCGGAUUAGCUAGUUGGCGGGGUAAAGGCCCACCAAGGCGACGAUCCGUAGCUGGUCUGAGAGGAUGAUCAGCCACACUGGAACUGAGACACGGUCCAGACUCCUACGGGAGGCAGCAGUGGGGAAUAUUGGACAAUGGGCGCAAGCCUGAUCCAGCCAUACCGCGUGGGUGAAGAAGGCCUUCGGGUUGUAAAGCCCUUUUGUUGGGAAAGAAAAGCAGCAGGUUAAUACCCCGCUGUUCUGACGGUACCCAAAUAAUAAGCACCGGCUAACUUCGUG
rnacentral:rRNA from 1 species